UGGCUGUUCUCGAACGUGAGUAAAUGUCGUGCAGGGAGAGGGAGAGCCCCAGCACACUGCCAUCUCAGAGCCGCAGCCGGGAGAUGGACUGACAGAUUGCAAAUUAAAAGAGUCCCAAUGUCAGAACGGCCGCAGCCCCCGGCGCGCAGAGCCCGUUAGCGCCGAGCCCGGCACGGAGCGAGCGGGGCUGCGGCGGGGCCGGUCCUGCGCCGGAGCAGGGCUAGGCAGGGACAAUAAAGCCAGGCACGGGCAGAGAAAAUCGCAAGGUGGAGCUGAAUACAAUGCCUGCAUUUGUGGCUAACUACAAGCAAUACAUUAUGAAGAUGAUGGUAUUCAGACACACAUCCAAACAAUUUGAUUCAGACAAAUUGGAUACAAGACUUUGACCAGCAUAAGAAGAACAGGCAUUGUACAGACAGGCAGCAAUGCAGACCUGCUGGAGGAGCUCAGCAGGAGGAGAGCCCGUGCUGCACCAGCAACGUGGUCUGAACAGAGGUCUGUGGUGGUCCAGCUCAUUGGAAACUUUCAUGCUUAAAUCAGGAGGAUGCUAUAGUUGGAGCUAAUCUGUGAGCCGUGUUGGACUGGUGUUCGCACAGCCCGCAGGGUGCAACCACACACCCCGGCAGGACAGCUGGUUCUCUGCUGUGCAGUUGGUCCUUUCCCAACCAGGGUGUGAAGCUGAACAUCAAGAGCCAUCGCCCUCCUGCCCUUUGCACUGACCAUGCUGCCCUGCCAAUGUCAAGACUGAUGGGCUGUUGGGAAGAACUAAAUUCUGCCCCCACUACUUCUGCGUAUGCUGAUGAAACAAGAACCGACUAGGAAAAGAAACAAUUCUCCUACCUUUUUUUGCAUGAAGUGCAAUAGGAAGUAAAGAAUUCAGUGAAGAAUUCAGCGUGGCAGAGGGAUGGGAGCGUAGAGAUUUCUGAUACGGUUUGGAUACUGCCUGCCACCAUGUAAAAGAGAUCUCAUAAUAAAAGCGUUGAUCAAAGCUUACACCACAUAUUGAUUAUUUCAUUGGAAAGUCAAGAAAACAACUGUUGUCUGUUUUUUUUCAUGAAUAUAAAGCAGAGAUCUUGUGUGAGAGGAGAAAUGUUAAAAUAACGAAGCACCAGAAGGGGUUAAAAGGGAAGGCCUGGGUCUAGAGCAGAAGGAAGGUGCAAAAAGGUAAACAUUAAAAGAAAUUUCAUGAAGAAAUAUUUGUAUUCAAAAUCUAUGACCAUUAUGAUAUCAAAAUAACUACUGUUCAAUUCCAUGCUUACAGUAGCUUCAUAGUCAGAAAAAACUGCCAUCACUUGCAUCUCACUAUUAAAAUGCAUUCUAUACAAUUCAAAAUCCCCAAAGAAUAAAAAAUACCUGGAUUUCUGAUAUUUGGCUAUAUUGGAUUAGUAGAUGUAAGUUGCUGGGUUUUCCCAGAAAUAUUAUUUCAGAACGCUUGAAUAACACAGCUUUCAGACCAGGUGCCGAACAGUCCAUGCACUUGGGCUGUGUUUGUGACAUGGGUACGUGGUCACUGUGAGAUGCAUGCGUGGUGUUGCUGUUCACCUCCUGCAGCUGAACGUCAUGGCCCCAGUAAAGUCAACCCAGAGCCAGAACUUCAUCCCAGGCCGGGAGCAGCUGAUGGAGGGUGCCACAGGCUGGUGACCUGCAGCAAUUUCAGGUCAGUGAUGCAGAAGCAAAAAAAAUUCCUUGUCACAUAACUGCUGUAGUUCAGACUAUCCAAAUUUCACUUUGGAUUUUCUACUGCAUUCCCGUUCACAUCACAACUCUAUAGAUAAUGUGCUAAGGCAUCAUUCUUAAAAAAGAAAGAUUUAACUUUUUUAAAGAGAUGGGUGAUUUGUAGAAGACAUUUGUGUAAUUUUGUAUUCUAAAUGUGAUUUAUUUUUAUAAAUAAAUUUGCAUAAAAUCUCCAGCC